GUGUCGUGANAUGUUGGGUUAAGUCCCGUACGAGCGCAACCCUUGUCCUUACUGCCAGCACGUAAAGGUGGGAACUUUAAGGAGACUGCCGGUGACAAACCGGAGGAAGGUGGGGACGACGUCAAGUCAUCAUGGCCCUUAUGAGUAGGGCUACACACGUGCUACAAUGGCCGGUACAGAGGGCAGCGAGACCGCGAGGUGGAGCAAAUCCCAGAAAGCCGGUCGUAGUUGGAGUCUGCAACUCGACUCCAUGAAGUCGGAUCGCUAGUAAUCGCNAAUUCAAAUGUCGCGGUAAU
rnacentral:rRNA from 1 species